UACAGAGGGGGCAAGCGUUGUUCGGAAUUACUGGGCGUAAAGGGCGCGUAGGCGGCCUUCUAAGUCGAACGUGAAAUCCUCGGGCUCAACCCGGGAACUGCGUCCGAUACUGGAAGGCUUGAAUCCGGGAGAGGGAUGUGGAAUUCCAGGUGUAGCGGUGAAAUGCGUAGAUAUCUGGAGGAACACCGGUGGCGAAGGCGACAUCCUGGACCGGUAUUGACGCUGAGGCGCGAAAGCCAGGGGAGCAAACGGG
rnacentral:rRNA from 1 species